rnacentral:misc_RNA from 1 species
GAAAAAAUAAAAAAUAAUAAUUUGAGAAUCUGGAAUUGAAAGAGGGGCAUGUGCUCUUUUUGAUAAUGUUUUACGAACUUGUAAUGCUUGAAUCUGAAUCCGACAUUCAUUUUUCUAUGAACUUUACCAUUUGCCAAACCUAAAAAACCGAUCGCUUUUCAUGAAGUGAUUCAUUUUCUUCUUCUUAAUUCUGUCGAUUUGAUUCGUUUUCGUUUAAUUUCGGCUGUUGAAAGGAAAAAAAAUUAUUAUAAAAAUGAACGGCGG